rnacentral:rRNA from 1 species
AUACGUAGGGGGCAAGCGUUAUCCGGAAUCACUGGGUGUAAAGGGUGCGUAGGCGGUAGGGCAAGUCAGAUGUGAAAGCCCGGGGCUCAACUCCGGGACUGCAUUUGAAACUGUCUUACUAGAGUGCAGGAGAGGAAAGCGGAAUUCCUAGUGUAGCGGUGAAAUGCGUAGAUAUUAGGAAGAACACCAGUGGCGAAGGCGGCUUUCUGGACUGUAACUGACGCUGAGGCACGAAAGCGUGGGGAGCGAACAGGAUUAGAUACCCUGGUAGUCCACGCCGUAAACGGUGAGUGCUAGGUGUCGGGGUCUUAUGAUCUCGGUGCUGAAGUCAACGCAUUAAGCACUCCACCUGGGGAGUACGUUCGCAAGAAUGAA